GACGAACGCUGGCGGCGUGCUUAACACAUGCAAGUCGAACGGAAAGGCCCUGCUUUUGUGGGGUGCUCGAUUGGCGAACGGGUGAGUAACACGUGAGUAACCUGCCCUUGACUUUGGGAUAACUUCAGGAAACUGGGGCUAAUACCGGAUAGGAGCUCCUGCUGCAUGGUGGGGGUUGGAAAGUUUCGGCGGUUGGGGCUGGACUCGCGGCUUAUCAGCUUGUUGGUGGGGUAGUGGCUUACCAAGGCUUUGACGGGUAGCCGGCCUGAGAGGGUGACCGGCGACAUGGGGACUGAGAGACGGCCCAGACUCCUACGGGAGGCAGCAGUGGGAAAUAUUGCACAAUGGGCGGAAGCCUGAUGCAGCAACGCCGCGUGCGGGAUGACGGCCUUCGGGUUGUAAACCGCUUUCGCCUGUGACGAAGCGUGAGUGACGGUAAUGGGUAAAGAAGCACCGGCUAACUACGUG
rnacentral:rRNA from 1 species